GACGGCAAUCUACCCCACGGUUGGGGAUAGCCGCGAGAAAUCGCGGGUAAUCCCCAGCGACGCAGGGGGUCGGCAUCGACCCCCUGCCAAAGGCUCGCCGCCGUGGGACGAGCCGUCGUGGUAUUAGGUCGUUGGCGGGGUAACGGCCCACCAAGCCUGCGAUGCCUACCGGGCGUGCGAGCGUGGCCCGGCACACUGGGACUGAGACACUGCCCAGACUCCUACGGGAGGCUGCAGUCGAGAAUCUUCGGCAAUGGGCGCAAGCCUGACCGAGCGACGCCGCGUGGAGGACGAAGGCCUUCGGGUUGUAAACUCCUGUCGAGGGGAAGGAAGGGGCCGAGAGGCCCUUGACCGCUCCCUGGAGGAAGCACGGGCUAAGUUCGUGCCAGCAGCCGCGGUAAGACGAACCGUGCGAACGUUAUUCGGAAUCACUGGGCUUAAAGCGCGUGUAGGCGGGACGGUGCGUCGGCCGCUGAAAUCCCCCGGCUCAACCGGGGAAGGGGCGCCGAUACGACCGCCCUG
rnacentral:rRNA from 1 species